rnacentral:rRNA from 1 species
CCUACGGGAGGCAGCAGUGGGGAAUAUUGCACAAUGGGCGCAAGCCUGAUGCAGCGACGCCGCGUGAGGGAUGACGGCCUUCGGGUUGUAAACCUCUUUCAGUAGGGAAGAAGCGAAAGUGACGGUACCUGCAGAAGAAGCGCCGGCUAACUACGUGCCAGCAGCCGCGGUAAUACGUAGGGCGCAAGCGUUAUCCGGAAUUAUUGGGCGUAAAGAGCUCGUAGGCGGUUUGUCGCGUCUGCCGUGAAAGUCCGGGGCUCAACUCCGGAUCUGCGGUGGGUACGGGCAGACUAGAGUGAUGUAGGGGAGACUGGAAUUCCUGGUGUAGCGGUGAAAUGCGCAGAUAUCAGGAGGAACACCGAUGGCGAAGGCAGGUCUCUGGGCAUUAACUGACGCUGAGGAGCGAAAGCAUGGGGAGCGAACAGGAUUAGAUACCCUGGUAGUCCAUGCCGUAAACGUUGGGCACUAGGUGUGGGGGACAUUCCACGUUUUCCGCGCCGUAGCUAACGCAUUAAGUGCCCGCCUGGGGAGUACGGCCGCAAGGCUAAACGUCAAAUUGAAUUGAGG